GUGGGGAAUCUUGCGCAAUGGGCGAAAGCCUGACGCAGCCAUGCCGCGUGAAUGAUGAAGGUCUUAGGAUUGUAAAAUUCUUUCACCGGGGACGAUAAUGACGGUACCCGGAGAAGAAGCCCCGGCUAACUUCGUGCCAGCAGCCGCGGUAAUACGAAGGGGGCUAGCGUUGCUCGGAAUUACUGGGCGUAAAGGGCGCGUAGGCGGAUCGUUAAGUCAGGGGUGAAAUCCCAGAGCUCAACUCUGGAACUGCCCUUGAUACUGGCGAUCUUGAGUGUGAGAGAGGUAUGUGGAACUCCGAGUGUAGAGGUGAAAUUCGUAGAUAUUCGGAAGAACACCAGUGGCGAAGGCGACAUACUGGCUCAUUACUGACGCUGAGGCGCGAAAGCGUGGGGAGCAAACAGGAUUAGAAACCCCUGUAGUCC
rnacentral:rRNA from 1 species